AGGAGACGGUGGGGCUUGGCGUUUGACAAAUAAGUGGAGGGAAAACCCAUUUUUAAUCGGCAAGAUCUCACCUGCCUGUUUCUAAGAAGGCCUCAGUUAGCAGGUAGGCGGAGAGCCAGGUGCUGGUUCAGAAUGCCUACUCCCCAUCUCUCCCGUGCUGGGGGAGGGUUAGGGGCCUGGGGGACUGGGGCAGGGUGGCUCCAACGUCCCCAGGCUGCUGCAGUGGCAGCGUGUGCCGCAGUGUGCCCUUGAAGCUGCCUGUGGCGCCCUCUGGCGGCCAUGGACAGUGCAUGCAUCUGGUGCUUUCAGCGGGGCUGAUCGCAUCUUCUCAGUGUAGGUCCAGUGGAACCGCCGAGGGUGGGGGGCGGAUUUCACGGCCAAGACAAGAGAGCUUUGGCCAGGCUAUUAUUCCAUGCCGGUUAUUAAGUUCUUCCUACGUGCCAGGCACCUCCUAGGAGACCAUGUGUAAGCAGAGACCCCAGAAAGGAAGCGAAUAUUGAGAAUGCUCCGGGUCAGUCUUCCAGGGGGUGGCGACAGUCAACGCACAGGCCCUGCAGCAGGGAUGGCCUUGCUGGGUUUGGGGACAGGCGUGGAGGCAGCUGGCCCAGCUGAGUGAACACGGGCGGGGUGGGGGGUGGUUGGAAAUGAGGUCAGAAAGGUAUCCGGGGCACAGAUGGUGCGGAGCCUUCCAGGCCACAGAAGAGCUGGAGGUUUAGUUCUAAGGCCGGUAAACAGCUAUUGGAGUUUGAACAAAGGCAUGAUACAACCUGAUUCACAUUAAAAAAAAAAAAUCACUCUGGCUUCUCUGGGACCAUGGGGAAGAGCAGAGAGACCUGUUGGGAGCCCAGGUGAGAGAUGCGAGUAUCCAGUACCUGCCUUGCUCCUUGCUCCUGAACCAGAUUCAGAAUACAUUUUGAAGUACAGGAGCCAAGGCCCAGGCCUCCUGACAGGAGUUCCUUGGAGGCAGCAGGGAGUUAAUCGCAGAAGGCUUCCUGCAGGAGGCAGCGCUUAGGUGGUGCCAAGGAGUCAAUCAAACAACCCACGACAGCUGUCAGCAGGCGCCUGGGCCCACAUUCCCUGUUUCCCUGGCCUGCUUCCUGCGGGCUCAAGGGGGCUGUGCCACCACAGUGGGCCCGAGGGCUGGUGGGGGACCAAGCCUCAGCAGAGGUGAUGGUCAUGCAAGGAAGGAGCGCCGCUCCUUUGGAAGUGACACCGGAGAAGGGCGCUCCUGUCUUCUACAUUCAUGAAUCAUGGCGGGAAAGACGAAGAGACCCUCCAAGAGACCACCAAGGUACCCGCAGUGCCUUGGUGUGUGUGUGUUGGGGGCUGGGGUUCAUGGACGUGCCCUAUCAUAACUCCUCCUUUCAGUGACUGUAGUCGCAGAGGGCAGGAACUGACAACUUCAGGUCACUGGCAGGUCACUGCUGUGACCGUCACCAGUAUUUCCCUCUGCCGAAGACAAGGCACGGCCCCCAAGCAGGACACCCGACUGAAGGAUAAAGGAGUGGUUUUGGGGGGUCUGGCCGGCCCUAGGGAGGGAUCAAGAGGCACCCCAGCUGUCCUUUCGUGGCCCAGAAUAAGAAAUGGUGGCCUCUAGAGGGCUGGAAAGAGAGCUAACAGUGAUCAAGCAGCUCGGUUAAGCUGGCUGGCUGUCCACUACACCUCAGUUCAUCCUGCCCCCCACCCUGUGAGCCGCUUUGCUGUCCCGCCCACCAAAGGAGAAACUGAGGCCCAGAGCAGUUUAAAUAACUUGCUCGAGUUUACACAGCUAGCAAAUGCCAGAGGUAGGAACUGGGUCCGUGCUCUUUUUCUCACACAGCCCUGCCAAACCAAGAGGGACCAUCCAGGGUGGGAGCCACACCCCACGUGCCCUGGCACAACUGAUAUUAUGCUUCUUUUUCUUUCUUCCCUUUUUUCCUUCAUUUCUUUUUGCUUGUUGUUCAUACUUAGGUAAGGCUUUGAGGAGGUGGGGGGGUCGUGGAGUAGGACGACAUACCCCUGAGCCCAAUCAGAUGGGACAGGGGGCAGAGGAAGAUCCCAAAGAGGGAAAUGAAAUUCUGGGGCUGCUCCGGUACCUGAGCAGUGUGGCGUGGGGGCUAAGGGUAUCUGCCCUAGGGUCACAGACACCCGAUUCAAGUCCCAGAGCCAUCACUCAGGGAGGUCGGGCAGGUUGCUUCACCUCUUUCUGCCUCAAUUUCCUUCCCCCCAGAAACGGUAGUGAUGUAGAAACUAGCUCUGGGAGCUGUGAGGAUUAAGCCUCCCGCUGAACUGGACGUGCUUAGCACAGUGUCCGCCACAUGGUGGGCACAUGUUACCAAUUAGCACAAUUAUGAAUUCUCCCCCAAGAGCGUUUUUUCUGUCCGCGGCUUUCAUUUGAACAAAGGCGGGCGAAGAAAAUAUAUACAGGUGAUCAAAUGGAUGUGUGUUGUGCUUCAAUUGACAUGAGGACCCCCACGGAGCCAGAAGGAGAAACAGAGCCUUGCAGAGCUGGGAGGGGAGACUUUCCAGUAGGAGUGAGGAGCCCAGACCCGCAGACGCAGACGGUGUGCUG